rnacentral:misc_RNA from 1 species
UUAUAAAGCCCUAUUUAUAAUUUCCAGUAUUCAAUAAGGCACAGAUCAAACAACCUUAUCAAACAAGAAUUCAUAUAUCUUAUUUGAUUUUAAACGGUUGAUUUUCUACAUUUCAUAUCUUAUCCUGAUGACCUCGGAAACAAGGUGAGGCAUGAGAAUUAAAAUAAAAUAAAAAGUUUAGGAAUUCUUGAUGAUCGUUUCAAGGGUUGUGCUGGCCAAUGUACACCAUUGAUGAUCAGCAGUUGUUUGCAUAUCAGGCGGACCAACUGAAAAGGUGACGACCUUUUGCUAGUUCUACAAGCAUAGCUCUACUGUAGAACUGCUCUCUUGCCAACGCUCUCACUUGCUUAAUGUAUGCAUCAAAAGGCACUGUCCCUUCCUCGACUGCCUUGUCCAAUGCAUAUAUCAAAUCCUCUAUGGCCCGAUCUCCACUCAAACAUUCAAUCUUCAAUUUUGAUUCUUCAUCUGCAGCUUCAAAUACCUCUUCCAUUUCAUCUCCUCCCACUGCAACUGAGUUCGCAUCAUUGACUCUCAACCAGUUCAUUACCACAUCAGCUUCAUCCGUCAGCUUCGUUACAUUGUCCUUAAGGCUGGACCUUUCUUGUUCAAGACUACCGAUCAUGUUUCUAGUUAUAGUAUCUCGCUUGAUCAAUUCUUCCUGCAACUUAGACAAGUUCUCCACUUCCUCUUCAUUUUUGGCCAAAAAGGCCAUCAUAUCAUAAUGAAGCAUGCCCGAAAGACGAUCAAGAGCCUCCAUCCUUGAGACAAGGGAGGGGUGAGAGAAACCUGCAACAGGGGAAUUAUAAAUGAAAGGAUGGUCAUGAGUGAAAAUCUUGACAAGCUUACGAACAAGGUUGGUGAGGUUGCAUCGAGGGAAUAGCCAAGUUUGGAGAUAAGGAGAAGAGGUAGAACCAGAAAGGUCAACAAAAGGGUGGUCUCGAUGAAUUGGAGUCAUCGAAUUUGCCAAUACAAAGACCAAAGGAGGCAUGUAAGGGUAGUUUUCAUGAACCCAAAUGGUGAGAGGUAUAGG